rnacentral:rRNA from 1 species
UACGAAGGGGGCUAGCGUUGCUCGGAAUCACUGGGCGUAAAGCGCACGUAGGCGGACUGUUAAGUCGGUGGUGAAAUCCUGGAGCUCAACUCCAGAACUGCCUUCGAUACUGAGAGUCUCGAGUCCGAGAGAGGUGAGUGGAACUGCGAGUGUAGAGGUGAAAUUCGUAGAUAUUCGCAAGAACACCAGUGGCGAAGGCGGCUCACUGGCUCGGUACUGACGCUGAGGUGCGAAAGCGUGGGGAGCAAACAGG